rnacentral:lncRNA from 1 species
GCACAGAACAGACAUUGUGACAUAUAUCUAGGCAAAUUGCCUAGAAGUGAAUCCCCUCUCCUGCUUAAGUCCUUCCCACAGAGAGCGGUUUGAUAUGUCACUGAAACCAGCAUCCAGGUGGUAUUGCUCCAUAUGCCUGAGACCCUAACAAAAGCCUAAUUACAACUCAUAUGCCUGGAGCCAGGACAUGUGCAGGAUGGUGAUGUAACUUUCCUCUCUGGAAUGGGUCCUGCACAAAGGAAUGAUAGUAACAUAUUGCAAAGCCAGACACACAGCCAUGAUGGUCCAAGUUAUAUUGGGAUUCAGCCAAUAGAAGAUAUUUUGCCUGUCAUCCCUAAGCUUAGGACAAUAGGGUCCUGCCCACAAGAAAGAUUGUGACAUCUCACUGGACAAGCACCCACCCAGACUCUGCCAAGAGAGGGGAUUAUUACAUAUUGCAGAGCCCAGCACCUAGGUGGAGUGACUCUCAUCUUUUUCUUCUACCCCGUAUAUAGCCAGCUUGGUGACCUACUAUUUGAGUCUAUACCCAGGCCCAGACCACAGAUGAAAUUGUGCAAUAUGUGGAACAAACACCUAAACAAUAUAUAACACCUUCCUUGGCUCUGUCUACAAAGGGCACUUUUAUAUAUCACUGGGACCAUCAACCAGGUGAUGUUGUGCCAUAUAACUGAGACCGUAUCAAAAGCCUAAUAACAAGACGUAUGUCUGGAGCCCCGAUAUGCACAGGAUGGUGAUAUAACCCUCUUCUCUGGAAUGGGCCCCACACAAAGGAAGGAUAGUGACAUAUUGCAAGCCCAGGCACACAGGCCCAGAGCACAGUUGAAAUUGUGACAUAUGUACACCAAGCAACCAAGCAAUGUAUAACACCUCAUUUGGCAAUGGAAUCGAGGGCACUUUUACAUAUCACUGAGACCAGCGCCCAGCUGAUGUGAAAUAUUGGCCUGAACCCUGCCUACAAAAGCAUUGUGGCUUUUAUCUAGCUCCAUUACAUAAGUGAUGUGACUUCCUUCUACUGCCUUGGCCCUGCACUUAUGGUGAAUCGUGACACAAAAUUGGGUAGAGCAACCAGCCUGGGCCCUGACCAGCACAGAGAUUGAGGCAUAUUGCUGAACCCAGGACCAAGAUGAAGUCACUCUCCUGCCUUGAUCCUGCACACAGGGACCCUUGUGACAUAUAUACAGGCCAAUUGCCUAGGUAAAGUUUGUCUCCUCUCCUGCCUAAGCCCUGCCCAUGGGGAGGAUUUAGAUAUAUCACUGAAACCAGCA